AAGUCGUAACAAGGUAACCGUAGGUGAACCUGCGGUUGGAUCAUUAUGGGAGCGCCACACGAUUUUCGAAUUGUGUGCAUCGACCCUGUGCAUUUUUAGUACUUGAUACGUGAUUGAGAGUGCUCGUACGUGCUCACGACAAUACAAUAAACUGAGAAGCAAAUAAAAACAACUUUUGACAACGGAUCUCUUGGCUCUC
rnacentral:misc_RNA from 1 species